UAUUGGACAAUGGGUGGAAGCCUGAUCCAGCCAUCCCGCGUGCAGGAAGACGGCCUUAUGGGUUGUAAACUGCUUUUAUACAGGAAUAAACCACCUUUCGUGAAGGGUGUUGAAGGUACUGUAUGAAUAAGCACCGGCUAACUCCGUGCCAGCAGCCGCGGUAAUACGGAGGGUGCAAGCGUUAUCCGGAUUUAUUGGGUUUAAAGGGUCCGCAGGCGGACUAGUAAGUCAGGGGUGAAAUCCGGCAGCUCAACUGUCGAACUGCCUUUGAAACUGCUGGUCUUGAGUGAGAAUGAAGCAGCUGGAAUGUGUGGUGUAGCGGUGAAAUGCAUAGAUAUCACACAGAACACCGAUAGCGAAGGCAGGUUGCUAAUUCUCAACUGACGCUGAGGGACGAAAGCGUGGGGAGCAAACAGG
rnacentral:rRNA from 1 species